GCUGUUUUAAGGAAACUCGCAACUCGUGUAAUGAAAUAAAAACUUUGCCGCCAUUUUUUUCCAACCAAUACAUACAAUAACAAAGGGAAAUAAUUCAAUCAUUAAAAAUACAGGUUAACUCAGCCCAUGGACAACUCGGACCGCGGCAAGACGGACCGCACAACUCAAAAAAUGAAAUGAUAAAAAAUAAUAAAAUGGAAAUACCGACC
rnacentral:lncRNA from 1 species